rnacentral:lncRNA from 1 species
GAGAGGAUGAGAGAGUGGGAAUUGGCUCCUUUCAUCUGAGAUUUUUUCAUGUUCUACCUGGAUCUGGAUGUAUCUACGUUUGGAAAGAAUAGAAAUCCUUUAUGUUCCAGUUUCACAUCUUUCCCAUUUUGGCAGCCACUGCUAAGAAUUAAAAAUGCCUGGGCACAGAAGCAGUUUGAGCUGUUGAACAUACCAGGUUAAUACACGUGACCCAAGA